AUUGAACGCUGGCGGCAGGCCUAACACAUGCAAGUCGAACGAGUGGCGGACGGGUGAGUAAUGUCUGAGAAACUGCCCGAUGGAGGGGGAUAACUACUGGAAACGGUAGCUAAUACCGCAUACCAUCGGAGGUGCCCAGAUGGGAUUAGCUUGUAGGUGAGGUAACGGCUCACAUAGGCGCCUAUCCCUAGCUGGUCUGAGAGGAUGACCAGCCACACUGGAACUGAGACACGGUCCAGACUCCUACGGGAGGCAGCAGUGGGGAAUAGUGCAUAAUGGGCGCAAGCCUGAUGCAGCCAUGCCGCGGGUAUGAAGAAGGCCUUCGGGUGGUAAAGUACGUUCAGCGGGGAGGCGUUACCCGCAGAAGAAGCACCGGCUAACUCCGUGCCAGCAGCCGCGGUAAUUC
rnacentral:rRNA from 1 species